rnacentral:rRNA from 1 species
UACGAGGGGUGCAAGCGUUAUUCGGAAUUAUUGGGCGUAAAGGGUGCGUAGACGGUUUGUUAAGUCGAUUGUUUAAUUCUCCGGCCUAACCGGAGGCUCACAGUUGAAACUGAUAAACUAGAGGGUGGAAGAGAGAAGUGGAAUUCUCGGAGUAGCGGUAAAAUGCGUAGAUCUCGAGAGGAACACCGAUGGCGAAGGCAGCUUCUUGGUCCAUACCUGACGUUGAUGCACGAAAGCGUGGGGAGCAAACAGGAUUAGAUACCCUGGUAGUCCACGCUGUAAACGAUGAUCACUAGACGUCAGUUCUGCUUGCAGAAUUGGUGUCGUAGCUAACGCGUUAAGUGAUCCGCCUGGGGAGUACGGUCGCAAGAUUA